CUGAAUUCCUACAAGAGGCCCUUGGAAUGUCACAUGAAGAUUGUCUCUGAUCCCUCAGUGUGGAGUUUUUUGAAGUAGGAACUUUCAUUAUCAAUUUGAGACCUUAUCUCCUUUUUAAGACCAUGACCAAGAGGUGCUGGAACCACUUCAUGAG
rnacentral:lncRNA from 1 species